AUUAUUAAGUUAUAAACAUUUGAUUUUAAUGACACUUAAAAUUAGACACAAUAUUAUAGGUUACUAACUAAAAAUUGAAAAAACAACAAUAAAUAAUAAAAAAUAAUAAUAAAAAAUUGAAAAAAUCAAAAAAUUCUUAAAAAAAUGCAAAAUAACCCUUUUUCGGGUUAAAAUUGAAAAAAGAUGUUACAUAAAAAUAGUUUGUAAUAUUUUCUAACAGCAUAUAUGCAAAGUAUUUUGAUUUAUUUGAAAAUAAUUGAAAAUAGAUUUUUCAAGGACGGUGUCGAGGUCACGGGGUCGGUGUCGUUUUUCGAAAUUUGUUAACUUAAUAUAAUAGAAGAUGUUUCGUUUUAAAUUAAGAAAUGUUAAAAUUAUUAAGUUAAAAACAUUUGAUUUUAAUGACACUUAAAAUUAGACACAAUAUUAUAGGUUACUAACUAAAAUUUGAAAAAACAACAAUAAAUAAUAAAAAAUUGAAAAAAUUAAAAAAUUCUUAAAAAAUUGCAAAAUAACCCUUUUUCGGGUUAAAAUUGAAAAAAGAUGUUACAUAAAAAAAGUUUGUAAGAUUUUCUAACAGCAUAUAUGCAAAGUAUUUUGAUUUAUUUGAAAAUAAUUGAAAAUAGAUUUUUCAAGGACGGUGUCGAGGUCACGGGGUCGGUGUCGUUUUUCGAAAUUUGUUAACUUAAUAUAAUAGAAGAUGUUUCAUUUUAAAUUAAGAAAUGAUAAAAUUAUUAAGUUAAAAACAUUUGAUUUUAAUGACACUUAAAAUUAGACACAAUAUUAUAGGUUACUAACUAAAAAUUGAAAAAACAACAAUAAAUAAUAAAAAAUAAUAAUAAAAAAUUGAAAAAAUCAAAAAAUUCUUAAAAAAUUGCAAAAUAAGCUUUUUUCGGGUUAAAAUUGAAAAAAGAUGUUACAUAAAAAUAGUUUGUAAGAUUUUCUAACAGCAUAUAUGCAAAGUAUUUUGAUUUAUUUGAAAAUAGAUUUUUCAAGGACGGUGUCGAGGUCACGGGGUCGGUGUCGUUUUUCGAAAUUUGUUAACUUAAUAUAAUAGAAGAUGUUUCGUUUUAAAUUAAGAAAUGUUAAAAUUAUUAAGUUAAAAACAUUUGAUUUUCAUGACACUUAAAAUUAGACACAAUAUUAUAGGUUACUAACUAAAAUUUGAAAAAACAACAAUAAAUAAUAAAAAAUUGAAAAAAUUAAAAAAUUCUUAAAAAAUUGCAAAAUAACCCUUUUUCGGGUUAAAAUUGCAAAAAGAUGUUACAUAAAAAUAGUUUGUAAGAUUUUCUAACAGCAUAUAUGCAAAGUAUUUUGAUUUAUUUGAAAAUAAUUGAAAAUAGAUUUUUCAAGGACGUUGUCGAGGUCACGGGGUCGGUGUCGUUUUUCGAAAUUUGUUAACUUAAUAUAAUAGAAGAUGUUUCGUUUUAAAUUAAGAAAUGUUAAAAUUAUUAAGUUAAAAACAUUUGAUUUUAAUGACACUUAAAAUUAGACACAAUAUUAUAGGUUACUAACUAAAAUUUGAAAAAACAACAAUAAAUAAUAAAAAAUAAUAAUAAAAAAUUGAAAAAAUCAAAAAAUUCUUAAAAAAAUGCAAAAUAACCCUUUUUCGGGUUAAAAUUGAAAAAAGAUGUUACAUAAAAAUAGUUUGUAAGAUUUUCUAACAGCAUAUAUGCAAAGUAUUUUGAUUUAUUUAAAAAUAAUUGAAAAUAGAUUUUUCAAGGACGGUGUCGAGGUCACGGGGUCGGUGUCGUUUUUUGAAAUUUGUUAAUUUAAUAUAAUAGAAGAUGUUUCGUUUUUAAUUAAGAAAUGUUAAAAUUAUUAAGUUAAAAACAUUUGAUUUUAAUGACACUUAAAAUUAGACACAAUAUUAUAGGUUACUAACUAAAAAUUGAAAAAACAACAAUAAAUAAUAAAAAAUAAUAAUAAAAAAUUGAAAAAAUCAAAAAAUUCUUAAAAAAUUGCAAAAUAACCCUUUUUCGGGUUAAAAUUGAAAAAAGAUGUUACAUAAAAAUAGUUUGUAAGAUUUUCUAACAGCAUAUAUGCAAAGUAUUUUGAUUUAUUUAAAAAUAAUUGAAAAUAGAUUUUUCAAGGACGGUGUCGAGGUCACGGGGUCGGUGUCGUUUUUCGAAAUUUGUUAAUUUAAUAUAAUAGAAGAUGUUUCGUUUUUAAUUAAGAAAUGUUAAAAUUAUUAAGUUAAAAACAUUUGAUUUUAAUGACACUUAAAAUUAGACACAAUAUUAUAGGUUACUAACUAAAAAUUGAAAAAACAACAAUAAAUAAUAAAAAAUAAUAAUAAAAAAUUGAAAAAAUCAAAAAAUUCUUAAAAAAUUGCAAAAUAACCCUUUUUCGGGUUAAAAUUGAAAAAAGAUGUUACAUAAAAAUAGUUUGUAUGAUUUUCUAACAGCAUAUAUGCAAAGUAUUUUGAUUUAUUUAAAAAUAAUUGAAAAUAGAUUUUUCAAGGACGGUGUCGAGGUCACGGGGUCGGUGUCGUUUUUCGAAAUUUGUUAACUUAAUAUAAUAGAAGAUGUUUCUUUUUUAAUUAAGAAAUGUUAAAAUUAUUAAGUUAUAAACAUUUGAUUUUAAUGACACUUAAAAUUAGACACAAUAUUAUAGGUUACUAACUAAAAAUUGAAAAAACAACAAUAAAUAAUAAAAAAUAAUAAUAAAAAAUUGAAAAAAUCAAAAAAUUCUUAAAAAAUUGCAAAAUAACCCUUUUUCGGGUUAAAAUUUAAAAAAGAUGUUACAUAUAAAUAGUUUGUAAGAUUUUCUAACAGCAUAUAUGCAAAGUAUUUUGAUUUAUUUGAAAAUAAUUGAAAAUAGAUUUUUCAAGGACGGUGUCGAGGUCACGGGGUCGGUGUCGUUUUUCGAAAUUUGUUAAUUUAAUAUAAUAGAAGAUGUUUCGUUUUUAAUUAAGAAAUGUUAAAAUUAUUAAGUUAAAAACAUUUGAUUUUAAUGACACUUAAAAUUAGACACAAUAUUAUAGGUUACUAACUAAAAAUUGAAAAAACAACAAU